AACGCCGAGCUUCAACGCGCCUCCGAGUCAUCUACGAUCAAAUCUAUGAGAAAAGGAAAUAGAACCAUCGUUGAUUGGAUCUCUGGCCUGUCGUCACCCGAUCUUCGGCCUCCUCCUCCUGCUGCCGCGCCUACUGCCAGAUCUGCUUGACCAAGUAGGAAUGAUGGGAAGGGCACCCAGGACCGAGACUUGCGAGGCUGCCUGCAUCAACGACGGGAGCGACGCCAGGACAUGCGAGGCCGCCUGUGUCCACGACCGUAUCCAUCAUUUCUGUUAGCAUGUACCCAUACAUAAUUCUGAUCCCAGCGGGAGCAAGCACCUCGACUGUCUCUUCACGGCAGGACUCGACAUCCAGCCACAGCUCGCCUUCAGCACGUCCUCUCUGCAUGAGGUCGUUUCAUCCUGCGCCCAGCGGACAAGCAAGCAGAGAAAACUCCAUGUCCAACUAAGCUGAUAUGUCUAUGCCAAGAGAUCCACGUGGAACACAUAGCAAUAUGUCUACGCCGAGAGAUCCACGUGGACCACAAAGCGAUAUGUCUAUGUCAAGAUAUAUAUGCCGAGCGCAGAGUGAAAUGUCUACGCCGAGAGAUACACGCGAACCGUUAAGCGAUAUCACCAACGUCACAGAUGAGGCCUCGCGGAAGAGGGAUCAAAGGAAUAUACAGCAACGGAAACAUCGAGCUGAUAUGUCCAUCGAACAAAGGGAAGAGAUUAAUAGGAAACAACGUGAAUAUCGACAGCGUAAGAAGGCCGCAACCCAAAAUAGUAGCACUUCCGCUACUUUGACUGAAACAAUGUCAUUAACUUCAUUAUCGAUGGAUAUUGACGAGAAUGCUGACCCAUGUGAUGAAAACACACCAAUUAUUUUGGGCAACAACAAUAUCCAAACAGAUGCAGAUGGGAAUCAGAGCCAUGUUGGCGUUGGCACAUCGACUACAAGAGGCAGUGCACAAUCUGAAGUCAACGACAAUGAUGUCCCAGGAGGGAAGAAAAGAAUGCACGACAACGGAAACGAAGAGCUGAUAUGACUGAUCAACAAAGGGAAGAGAUUAAUAGAAAACAACAUGAAUAUCGAGCGCGUAGGAAGGUUGCAAUGCAAAAUAUUACCACCACCUCUGAUGUGUCUCAAAUAGUGCCAGCAUCCUCACGUGCAAGUUGUGUGAGUUUUGGAAUAGGAUUAUCAACUAUAUUGGAAAAUGAGGAGUCAGAAGAUCCCACAGAUUGGCUUCAUAGAAAUAAUAAUUAUGUGCCACGAGCUAGACGCCCACGUACGGUCCUUUCUCGAACAUUGCCUACACCCGUUGAUUCAGGCAAGCACAACAACUCAUGCUAAUUUAGAUAAAAAAAUAAGCCAAUUAGAAAUAUGUUAAUGUACUUAUUUUAAAAAUAUUUUCAGAAGUUUAAUAAAAAAGGUAUUUAGAUACAUGCUAUUGUACUUAUUAUUAAAAUUUGUAGAAGUUCAUUUACCUGAGCGGCGCCGCAACCAUGUAGAUGUCACAACCAAUGAAGGUGAAUUUGACCGUGAACUAUUUGAACCAACAAAUGAUGGUUGGGAUUGUUAGAAGAUGCCAUGGGAGGCGACCAUGGAUUGCACGAUGAAAACUUAAAUGAUGAUAGAGUCAAUCAACAACCUGCACAAGGUCAUGGAUAUGAGUCAUAUCGUGUGCUUCCGGAUGGUCUAGCUGCAAAUAAUGUGACAGAUGAUGAUGCAUAUGAAUUUAUCUACCUGAACCUGCCACAAAGACAUAUAUUGAGAAAUGUCCCUGACUGCAAUUACUGUGGUGCGAUGAGGUUUCAGUAUGAGACACCCGAUUUUGUUGUAGAAAAGGAAAAGUACAAAUACAUAUUCUAGAGGUUUCUGAAGAGAUGAAAAGGUUAUUCACAAGUCAAGUACAUGAUGACGCAAAAUAUUUCAGGAAACGUAUACGCUAUCUCAACUCACAUUUUGCCUUUGCAAGUCUAGGGGUUACCCUUGACCGCAGAUAUAAUAGUCCAGUUGGGACCUGUAUUUAUACAUUCCAAGUUCAUGGCGGUUUGUACCACAGUCUAGACCACCUGGUGCCAGGUGACCAAGGUGCUCGACAUCUACAGCUCUACUUUUAUGAUACAGAAGAUGAGGCCUUGUCACAGAGUCAAAAGGUCCCCUGAUCUUGAUAUCAACCUCAUCCAGAAUAUCCUUGCAAUUUUGAGGUAUAACCCAUAUGUUCAUACGUUUAGGAGAAAUUGUGAUUUUCCAAACAUGGAUGACUAUCGGAUUGAACUCAAUACAAAUAUCACGCAUGAUCAAAGAAGGUACAAUGCCCGUACAGCCUCCCAAGUUGCAGCUAUCUGGAUGGAAGGGAAUGAUUCACAGAGAUGUUUUGAUAGGAGUGUGGUUGUAUAUAGAAGGACCGAUCGUCGUCCACAAUAUAUCCGAGCGUACCAUGGUUGUUAUGACCCAAUAGCUUAUCCUUUAUAUAACCCACGAGGGGAAACAGGAUGGAACAAGUUUAUGCCAUACAGUGGGGAUCCAGUUACUCAUUCAUCACCAACCCCGACUUCUACUAAUGUUAAUUACAUGGAUGACAGGACUAACGGUGGUUAUCAAGAUGAUAAUAUGAACGAAAAUCAAGUAGAAGAAGGCGACAAUGACGUACAAUAAGGUGAGUGGCUAUGUGGAGUUGCGGAUGCAGCACAAUUCAGCAGAUUAUGUGUGUACGCAACAAGAUGUUGAGGUAAUUGAAUAUAUGAAAGGGAAAAGUAAAAAGCAUUUACUUGUUAAAAUCGAUGAUUGCUGGGGAGAAAGAGAUGAUAUGGAUUGUCUUUUUGUUGGGAAUGAGGAAGUCAAUGGUGCGGUCAUGAGUCUUUAUAUCCAAUUGAUGCGUCACGAAGAACACCUACUUCAUAGAGAAUAUGGAGAUGUUUAUUUGGAGAAUACAUGGUUCUCUCAAAUAUUACGAGACGAGGGAGAGGAAGAUGAAACGAAAAGACCUGGACAAAAGAGGACGUGGUUGAAAUAAGGGUACAAAAUUAUUUAAAUGCUGAUAUGGUAAGCUUGACAAUAAGAUUUGGUAUAUGCUAAUUUUAUAUACUUUUAAAUGUAAGGAAAUAAUUUAGAUAAAUCUCUAUUACCUGGUCUUCCUUUCUAUCAACAUUGAAAAGUUUCACUGGUACUUGGCGGUCGUGAAUGCAAAAGAAGGUGAAAUACAUGUUUUGGAUUCCUUCGGACAAAAUAUGACAAAUUGGAUAGAUCUUAGAUAUACGGUACAACUUAAUAAUUUUUAUACAAACUUCUUUAAAAUUCUUCAGUAUCUCUUUCUUAGUUAAUCUUGGUGUCUCGGUCAUUCUAGUUAAUAGGAAUGGAAAGACUAAUAAAGCAUGCACUGAAAUCUAAAUUACUGGACCAAACUAAAUGGCUACAAGGUAUUGAAGUGUCAUCUUGGGAGAUUAAACAUAAGAUCACCGAAAAACUGCAAACAUAUGGCUGUAGUUGUGGUUUAUGGCUGAUUAAUUAUAUGGAAUAUUGGACCAGAGUUACUUUAUCUGGCCACGUCACCCAGGAAGAUAUAAGUAACUUCAGGUUCAAACUCUCUGCAAUCUUGUAUAACUCCGCGUUAAAUAAAGCAAGAGGGCUACCAGAUGAUGGGCAACAGUAUGAGACCCACAAUGACGUAGAUGGUGAUGUCACAGAGCUUGAUGAGUUGGAUAUUAUAAUGUCAGGUGAAAUUAAGUUGACACGUACAAUAAAGUAGAAAAGUAGGAAACACAUAUUGAACGCAAUAUGCACAAACAUCCAUUUCAUCGGCACUGAUGAAACUUUGUCUCACAAAGAGUGGGUACGAAGUACACACCCAUACCUGAUUUCUUUGAAUCUUAGCAAGAUUAAAAAUAUCUUAGAUGAGGAUCUAGAGAUGGAUCAUGAAUGCUUAAAUAUGACUAUUUGGAUGGCUGCGUGCAACCAACAUAUGGUGCCGAAGAAACAAAAGUAUCACUUCAUGGACCUCAAGUUUGCUGAAAUAACUCGGUCUGGACGAGAUCCGCGAUGUUGUGGCAUAAUCGACAAGGAUCGGUAGAGUGUGGAUCGGCAAGACAGAAUAAUGGUUACUGGUCUGCAGAAGGGUUGCCGAUGAGGGCGGUUGCCGAUGAGAAGACAGCUGAAUAUGGCUAAGUCCGUGGAUGGUGAUGUGUUUAUGCCGAUGGCCAGUAUUAAUCGUUGCCGAUGGGGAGUCUGUCGAUGACGUGGAAGGAAGACUUGGAAGUCGCCAAUUGAUCCGUGGUGGUGUCUCAGCUGUCGCGGCAGGAUAGGUCUAUGUUUUCCUUAAUUAUUUAAAUCGUUUUGUACACGGAUUCUGUUUAAAUAUGGAAUUCAAAUUCUAGUCGUGUCUG